AACGUAGGAGACAAACGUUAUCCGGAGUUACUGGGCGUAAAGGGCGUGUAGGUGGUAGAGUAAGUCUGGCGUGAAAUUUUUCGGCUUAACCGGGAAAGGUCGUCGGAUACUGCUUAACUAGAGGACGGUAGAGGCGUGUGGAAUUCCGGGUGUAGUGGUGAAAUGCGUAGAGAUCCGGAGGAACACCAGUGGCGAAGGCGGCCGCCUGGGCCAGUCCUGACGCUGAGCCGCGAAAGCGUGGGGAGCGAUCCGG
rnacentral:rRNA from 1 species